GAAAUACUGCAGCUUUCUGGACUGCAUACCCUGCUCCCUGGAGAGGUUCCACCCACCGGCUGGAAGGAGAGGAAGUGAAUGAAAGGACAGGAGGAGCCCGAACACCAUGUCACUCUGGAAGGGAGACAGCAGCAACCAGGCUGUGCAAGUGAGUGGUGGAAGACGAAGGAUCUCUGAAGCCUCAUCAGUCAUCGGGACCAUCAGGAAUAGUGGUUUAAGAGGACGCUCGGCCUGGGGCACCAUACCGUGUCAUCGAGUUCCCUGCCUCGGAGAUAAAGAUUCCAGCUACAUGGGUAAACGCCUGGAUCAGCCACAAAUGUACCCCCAGUACACUUACUACUAUCCUCACUGUCUCUAAACCAAGGUAUGGCUCGACCCACAGUCUGGCAAGCAGUGUGUAUCCUGCACUUGGGAUGGGAAACAGGCAUGUGGAUUAUUAUUUACCUCCCCUUUCCCAUCACCUCUUCCUGCUUCUUUGAAAUUAGUAACAUAGCAAUGGAGUUAAUGAGGCAGAGGAGAAUAUGAGAAGAAAGCAAGCCCUGGGACUGUGGUUUUUCUCUUCUAGCAGAGAUAAUAGUUUCGCUCGUGUUCCUUUGUUGUUAUUUGGCAACAUAAAGAUGUUCCUGAUAUCCGUAGUAAAGUGCUUUGCAGAUGGACAGGGUUGUUAGAAAGGAGAUUGUGACAGUGAUUAUCAGGAACAACAACGAUUUCAGAGGCUUUUCUGGUGAGCUGUUCUUUGUGGCUCUGAAAGGGUUUUUCUCACUGGAUAGGAUGCACCAGGGUGGGGGCAACUCAGACUUUCAAUCACAGAGUAUAGAAUGAAAGAAGGGUGUGGGAAGGUAUAGUACGACUAACUGACGUCCCGUAGAGUUUGUUUGGGUGUGCUUUUGUUUUUGUGUAUUUGCCUUACAUAUUUUAUUUUAUAUGGAGGGUGAUCAAGACUCUAGAGACUGAAGUUUGGAGCCUUACAAUAGAUGUUCUUUACUUUUCGAAGCUCUGUUUUUCUGUGCUGGCUGCCAUCAGGAGGCCUGUGGGUCUAGAAACGGGAUGAAAUAUAACUGAUGAUAAUUGGACACGAA
rnacentral:lncRNA from 12 species